rnacentral:rRNA from 1 species
GACUCAACACGGGGAAACUCACCAGGUUCAGAUGAAAUAAGGAUUGACAGAUUGAGAGCUCUUUNUUGAUUUUUCAGGUGGUGGNNCAUGNCCGUUNUUAGUUCGUGGGGUGACUUGUCUGNUUAAUUGCGAUAACGAGCGAGACCUUACUNUNNUAAAUAGCCAGGCUAGCUUUGGCUGGUCGCCGGCUUNUUAGAGAGACUAUCAACUCAAGUUGAUGGAAGUNNGAGGCAAUANCAGGUNUGUGAUGCCNUNAGAUAUUNUGGGCCGCACGCGCGCUACACUGACAGAGCCAACGAGUUCUUUCCCUUGGCCGAAAGGUCUGGGUAAUCUUGUUAAACUCNGUCGUGCUGGGGAUAAAGCAUUGCAAUUAUUGCUUUUCAACGAGGAAUGCNUAGUAAGCGCGUGUCAUCAGCAUGCGUUGAUUACGUCCCUGACCUUUGUACNCNCCNCCCGUCNCUACUACCGAUUGAA